rnacentral:sRNA from 2 species
UGCGCUGGCCCGAAGGGCGAGUCUCGAAGAGACGAGUCACCUGCGUUCAGGUUCGAGCCGAGCGAAGCGAGACGACAACGCGUAGCGUUGCCCGUAGGGCGAGGCCGGAGGCCGAGUCAAUCCUGCACGACCCACUA